CCGCAGCAGGGAGAUGGCAUUCUCCCCUAACCGCCGCAAGGCUGAUGAUGCCUACUCGAGA
rfam:Betaproteobacteria bacterium RIFCSPLOWO2_02_FTLL_65_24 rifcsplowo2_02_scaffold_64491, whole genome shotgun sequence.